UGCGGAAUGACAGUAGCUGGUAUCUGAGAGGUCUCAUAAGCCUCCGCCUUGUGCCUCGCGGGUUCGAGUCCCGCUUCCGCAACCA
rnacentral:tRNA from 2 species